UACGGAGGAUCCAAGCGUUAUCCGGAUUUAUUGGGUUUAAAGGGUGCGUAGGUGGCCUGUUAAGUCAGGGGUGAAAGACGGUAGCUCAACUAUCGCAGUGCCCUUGAUACUGAUGGGCUUGAAUAAACUAGAGGUAGGCGGAAUGCGACAAGUAGCGGUGAAAUGCAUAGAUAUGUCACAGAAACACCAAUUGCGAAGGCAGCUUACUAUGGUUUUAUUGACACUGAGGCACGAAAGCGUGGGGAUCAAACAGG
rnacentral:rRNA from 1 species